rnacentral:sRNA from 1 species
CCUGCCACUUUCACAGUGUACGAAUACCACAGACCAGAUAAACAGUGUACCAUGUUUUAUAGCACUUCCAAUAUCAAAAUUCAGAAAGUCUGUGAAGGAGCCACGUGCAAGUGUGUAGAAGCUGAUUGUGGGCAAAUGCAGGAAGAAUUGGAUCUGACAAUCUCUACAGAGACAAGAAAACAAACAGCAUGUAAACCAGAGAUUGCAUAUGCUUAUAAAGUUAGCAUCACAUCCAUCACUGUAGAAAAUGUUUUUGUCAAGUACAAGGCAACCCUUCUGGAUAUCUACAAAACUGGUGAGAAUUCAUUCGUUCAUUCAUUCCUUCAUUCAGCAACUAUUUAGUACUAUGUGCCAGGCAUUAUAUUAAACACCGAAGAUACAACUCAAAUAAGACAGAGCUCUUGCCUUUUUAAAGCUUAUAUUCUACUUGGGGAGAAACAUUUUUUAAAGAUGUUCGUAUAAAUAUUUCUCAUUGAAUUCAUUUUUCUAAAACUUCAGCAAAAUGUUUUUUUAAAUUGUGUAAUUGUCCAAUUUCUUUUUCUUUACAACUUUUAUUUUAGGUUCAGGGGAUACGUGUGCAAGUUUGCUACAUGGGUAAAUCGCAUGUUUUGGGGG